rnacentral:rRNA from 1 species
UGCCAGCCGCCGCGGUAAUACGGAGGGGGCGAGCGUUAUUCGGAAUUACUGGGCGUAAAGGGUGCGUAGGCGGCCCAUCAAGUUAGACGUGAAAGCCCCGGGCUCAACCUGGGAAUUGCGUUUAAUACUGGUGAGCUAGAGUACGAGAGAGGAAAGUGGAAUUCCUAGUGUAGAGGUGAAAUGCGUAGAUAUCUGGAGGAACAUCAGUGGCGAAGGCGGCUCCCUGGCCAAAGACUGACGCUCAUGUGCGAAAGUGUGGGUAGCGAACAGGAUUAGAUA